AUUGAACGCUGGCGGCAGGCUUAACACAUGCAAGUCGAGCGGGGACUUCGGUCCUAGCGGCGAACGGGUGAGGAAUGCUUGGGAAUCUGCCCAGUAGCGGGGGAUAACGUUUCGAAAGGAACGCUAAUACCGCAUACGCCCUACGGGGGAAAGGGGGGGAUCUUCGGACCUCUCACUAUUGGAUGAGCCCAAGUCGGAUUAGCUAGUUGGUGGGGUAAAGGCCUACCAAGGCGACGAUCCGUAGCUGGUCUGAGAGGAUGAUCAGCCACACUGGAAGUGAGACACGGUCCAGACUACUACGGGAGGCAGCAGUGGGGAAUAUUGGACAAUGGGCGAAAGCCUGAUCCAGCCAUGCCGCGUGUGUGAAGAAGGCAUUCGGGUUGUAAAGCACUUUAAGCGAGGAGGAAUGGCUCUUGGUUAAUAACCUUGAGCAGUGACGUUACUCGCAGAAUAAGCACCGGCUAACUCUGUGCCAGCCGCCGCGGUAAUAC
rnacentral:rRNA from 1 species